rnacentral:rRNA from 1 species
ACUCAAAUGAAUAGACGGGGGCCCGCACAAGCGGUGGAGCAUGUGGUUCAAUUCGAUGCAACGCGAAGAACCUUACCUGGGUUUGAACUGUAACUGAAUGCUUCAGAGAUGAAGAGUCCUAGCAAUAGGCAGUUAUAGAGGUGCUGCAUGGCUGUCGUCAGUUCGUGUCGUGAGAUGUUGGGUUAAGUCCCGCAACGAACGCAACCCUUGCUGUUAGUUGCUAGUCCGUAAGGUCAGCACUCUAAUAGGACUGCCGGUGAUAAACCGGAGGAAGGUGGGGAUGACGUCAAGUCAUCAUGGCCUUUAUGUCCAGGGCUACACACGUGCUACAAUGGCCGGGAACAGAGGGUUGCAAAAUCGCAAGGUCAAGCCAAUCCCAUAAAACCGGCCUCAGUUCGGAUUGCAGUCUGCAACUCGACUGCAUGAAGUUGGAAUCGCUAGUAAUCGCGGAUCAGCAUGCCGCGGUGAAUACGUUUCCGGGCCUUGUACACACCGCCCGU